UUCCUACGGGUGGCUGCAGUAAGGAAUAUUGGUCAAUGGACGCAAGUCUGAACCAGCCAUGCCGCGUGGAGGAUGAAGGUCCUCUGGAUUGUAAACUUCUUUUAUCUGGGACGAAACACUUCUUUUCUAAGAGGCCUGACGGUACCAGAUGAAUAAGCACCGGCUAACUCCGUGCCAGCAGCCGCGGUAAUACGGAGGGUGCAAGCGUUAUCCGGAUUCACUGGGUUUAAAGGGUGCGUAGGUGGGUAUGUAAGUCAGUGGUGAAAUCCCCGAGCUUAACUUGGGAACUGCCGUUGAUACUAUAUAUCUUGAAUGCCGUAGAGGUAAGCGGAAUAUGUCAUGUAGCGGUGAAAUGCUUAGAUAUGACAUAGAACACCAAUUGCGAAGGCAGCUUACUAUGCGGUUAUUGACACUGAGGCACGAAAGCGUGGGUAGCAAACAGGAUUAGAUACCCGUGUAGUC
rnacentral:rRNA from 1 species